rnacentral:rRNA from 1 species
GGUAGCACAGGGGAGCUUGCUCCCCGGGUGACGAGUGGCGGACGGGUGAGUAAUGUCUGGGGAUCUGCCCGAUGGAGGGGGAUAACUACUGGAAACGGUAGCUAAUACCGCAUAACCUCGAAAGAGCAAAGUGGGGGACCUUCGGGCCUCACACCAUCGGAUGAACCCAGAUGGGAUUAGCUAGUAGGUGGGGUAACGGCUCACCUAGGCGACGAUCCCUAGCUGGUCUGAGAGGAUGACCAGCCACACUGGAACUGAGACACGGUCCAGACUCCUACGGGAGGCAGCAGUGGGGAAUAUUGCACAAUGGGCGCAAGCCUGAUGCAGCCAUGCCGCGUGUAUGAAGAAGGCCUUCGGGUUGUAAAGUACUUUCAGCGGGGAGGAAGGGAUGAAGGUUAAUAACCUUCGUCAUUGACGUUACCCGCAGAAGAAGCACCGGCUAACUCCGUGCCAGCAGCCGCGGUAAUACGGAGGGUGCAAGCGUUAAUCGGAAUUACUGGGCGUAAAG